UAAUUUCCAGUUAGGUCUUAUUUUGGGAGAAAUACAGUAAAUGCUAAGGGGCAUCUCCCAAGGAGCGAAUAUCUUCCUGCUGGAAAAUCAAGGCCAAGAGAUGUCUUAAAUUUGGGGUUUCAAAUUGGAGGUUUCAUAUUUUUUUCAACUGCUCUCACAAUCCUCAUUUUCGCUUUAGGGAAUCCAGACAUUCCGAAACCUCGGCGGAUCCUUCGAUCCUCUUGGGGCAGCAACCCCUAUUUCCGUGGUUCUUACUCUUACACGCAAGUUGGGUCGAGCGGAGCAGACGUGGAGAAACUUGCGAAACCCUUGCCUUAUACAGAGAGUUCCAAAACUGUGCCUAAACAGGUGAUGUUUUCAGGUGAGGCAACGCACAGGAAGUACUACUCCACCACCCAUGGUGCUUUGCUGUCUGGCCAGAGAGAGGCGGCUCAUCUGACCGAAAUGU